CUGAUACAUACAUUAGUAGCAAUAUUAAAUAAGGUAAAAUACUCCAGUGACAUCCUAGUUACAUGCUUGGGGUGGGUUUUUGGUUUCGUUUUAAAGUAUUUAUGAGGGAUACUUUCAUGCAUUUUCCAUGAAACUAAUUUUUCUCUCUCUUUUUUUAGCUUCAGCUUUAGCUGCAGCUGCCUCUGUUCAGCCACUUGCAACACAGUGUUUCCAACUCUCUAACAUGUUUAACCCUCAAACAGAAGAAGAAGUUGGAUGGGAUACCGAGAUUAAGGAUGAUGUGAUUGAAGAAUGUAAUAAACAUGGAGGAGUUAUUCAUAUUUAUGUUGACAAAAAUUCAGCUCAGGGCAAUGUGUAUGUGAAGUGCCCAUCAAUUGCUGCAGCUAUUGCUGCUGUCAAUGCAUUGCAUGGCAGGUGGUUUGCUGGUAAAAUGAUAACAGCAGCAUAUGUACCUCUUCCAACUUACCACAACCUGUUUCCUGAUUCUAUGACAGCAACACAACUACUGGUUCCAAGUAGACGAUGAAGGAAGAUACAGUCCCUUAUGUAUAUAGCUUUUUUCUUUCUUGAGAAUUCAUCUUGAGUUAUCUUUUAUUUAGAUAAAAAUAAAGAGGCAAGGAUCUACUGUC
rnacentral:sRNA from 1 species